GGGUCAGUAGGUUGGUCGUGCCACCGGUACGUACUGGUCUCACUGAUUCCUCCUUCCUGAAGAACCGUAAUGCCAUUAAUUGGUGUUGCGGGGAAACAGGACUGUUACUUUGAAAAAUUAGAGUGUUUAAAGCAAGCUAACGCUUGAAUACAUUAGCAUGGAAUAAUGAAAUAGGACGAUCGAUCCUAUUUUGUUGGUUUCUAGGAUUGACGUA
rnacentral:rRNA from 1 species